UUUACUGAAUACAACUUGAUUUUGAACUGCAAAUGUUAGAAAUAAUCACCAGAAAUUCAUAGUAGAAGAGUGUGAGAAUGGCAAGACUCAACCCCGAACUCAAUGUGCACCGCGGCCGUGUCCACGGCGAUCGUGGCCGAAACGAUGGCGAGUGUGGUGAGGCGUCUGGCGGUCGUGGCCACCACCCUUGGUUCGGGUACUUCACCCCCUGGGGUGCGUCGUUCCCACCCCCUCGCGCGCCCUAGUUGCCCCUUGAACUCUGCAGGCAUCCUCAGGCCCCGUUUUGGUGCGCAGACGCAGGCGUACCUGGUUAUUUACUCUAGCGUGCCGCCUGCUCCAUACGCCGCCCCUUCGUACACGUGGGAUGCUAACGCCAUGCGGCACGCCGCGCCCAGCUACGGCGCCGCGUUCCCCUGGAGCCGGAGUGGAUAAUUGACACAUGAGCUGCAUCUCACGUCACCUCAGACUCAGGUAGCCUCACCUUGUCUCGUUCUCCAUGAGCGUCUGAUUCUCGUUCCAUAAUAGUCGGUAAUGGGGCAUGCCUUCCUGUUGUUGGCAUCGGUAGCGCUCUCCUUCCCCUCGCCCGUUUCAUCUUUCCAAAAUCCUUCUCUCUCCUAAUAUUGUUAAGAACCUUAUUUCAAUCUGACAAUUUACUCGUGAAAACCUUGUUUCUGUGGAAUUUGACCCUGCUAGUUUUACCAUGACGGAUCUGGUCAGCAGGGCCCUUCUCUUGAGGUGCAAUAGUGGAGGUGAUCUCUAUCGUUUUCAAGCAUUCAUGGUGCGCUCCUCUCGAUGGUCCUCACCGUCCAGUCAUCCAACUUGUGGCAUCGCAGACUUGCCCACCCCAGCUCAUCUACUUAAGCUCAUUCCCCCCUUGAUUUCUUAGACUCAUGUAACAGAGAUGUCUGUGACUCCAUGAUUUGCACUGCAUGCCAACUCGGCAAACAUACAUGCCUCCCCUUCCCCACCUUUACAUCCUUCACCACCGCGCCUUUUCAGUUAGCCCACUAUGAUUUAUGGACAUUGUCAGUUGUUAGCUUUUCCGGUUAUAAUUAUUACCUUGUCAUAUUGGAUUAUUUUCUCACUGUUCAUGGCCAUUUCCUUUGCGAGCCAAAUCUAAUACGUCUCGAACAUGGAGUUUUCUGUUUUUAAAUUUCAAAAUGCAAACAAACUCCGAAAUGCAUGAAAAUUCAGUUGGAAAAUAUGUUCAGAUGUUUGUCUCCAAAUAAAGUACAAAAAAUAGAUUCCAUAUCAUUUAUCCAUGUCCAAGAACAAAUUAAGUUUAGUAAAAUAAAACUAAGAAAAUAAGGGAAAAAAACAACAAAAAGCGGUACGUACGUGGGUUUUGAACCCAAGACCUCAUUUGCAUUUCUAAGGCCACAAAACAACUAUAUUAAGCUACUGUUUUAAUCUAAACACACACCGGAUGUUCUUAUAGUAGUAGAAGAUAUUUUCUAGCCUGCUGCCUUCUGAUUGGCUGAACCAGACCUCCCACGGAUCACGCCUCUCCACCGUCCAUCCUUAGCUGAUCCAACGGUCCCCGCUCCUUCUACUCUCUAUCUGUGCUUUCCCUGAUUCUUAUCCUCUCACAGCCACACGAACGAGAGCACCAUGACAGUAGCAGCCGCGCCCAAGGAAAUCCACAGCUCGCAGCCGUCGGACGCCGCCGUCCGCGCGAAGGGCCGCCGCCCGAACCUCCCACCACAGCACGCCGCAAUGGAGGCCGAACGCCCAUGGCAUCGUCCGAGCUCACCUCCCAGCAGUCAUACUCCUUCGAAAUCAUCGGGAUAUGGCUGGAGCCGGACACCAACGCCCCGUUCCUACCUCCCCGCCUCGCUUGGGUCGUCGGCCACCUCGACGAUGUCAUACCGCUCGUGGGAUCCAGCGCCACCGUUGGCUGGCCACUUCCUCCUGGAGGAGAUGCCUCCACAUCGGCGCCUCCUCACAUGAGCAGCAGCAGCGAACGCCUCGCUAAGGGCAUCUCUGGUGGUGUUUUUUUAAAUUGUUUUAAAGAAGUUUUCCAGAUCUAUGCCUGAAAAACAAUGGCGUUGAACUCCGAUUGACGCCCCGCGAAGGCUGGGCGACGCUUGAUGUGGUGGCUGCAGAAUAUCUUCGGGCAAAAUAGUAGGCCAGAUCUAGGGGGGAAAUCUUUAAUUCCAAGUUUUUGGUUGUGUAUUUUUUCCUUUUGGUAAAAAUAAAAUUUAGUUAUCUGGUA